UACGAGGGGGGCAAGCGUUGUUCGGAAUUAUUGGGCGUAAAGGGUGCGUAGGCGGUCUGAUAAGUCAUCUGUGAAAUCUAUGGGCUCAACCAAUAGUCUGCAGGCGAAACUGUCGGGCUUGAGUAUGGGAGAGGUGAGUGGAAUUUCCGGUGUAGCGGUGAAAUGCGUAGAUAUCGGAAGGAACACCUGUGGCGAAAGCGGCUCACUGGACCAUUACUGACGCUGAUGCACGAAAGCUAGGGGAGCAAACAGG
rnacentral:rRNA from 1 species